rnacentral:rRNA from 1 species
UACGGAGGGUGCAAGCGUUAUCCGGAUUUAUUGGGUUUAAAGGGUCCGUAGGCUGAUUUGUAAGUCAGUGGUGAGAUCUCACAGCUUAACUGUGAAACUGCCAUUGAUACUGCAAGUCUUGAGUGUUGUUGAAGUAGCUGGAAUAAGUAGUGUAGCGGUGAAAUGCAUAGAUAUUACUUAGAACACCAAUUGCGAAGGCAGGUUACUAAGCAACAACUGACGCUGAUGGACGAAAGCGUGGGAGCGAACAGG